AGGUAAAUCCGCUGGGCGUGAAGGUUGAGGCAUGAUGGGGAGCCCACGGUUGUGGGUGAGUGAGUGAUCCUGUACUGUCGAGAAAAGCUUCGUGAGCGAGGUGGCGGGUCCGCCCGUACCCUAAACCGACACUGGUGGAUAGGUAGAGUAUACCGAGGCGAUCGAGUGAAUCGUGGUGAAGGAACUCGGCAAAAUGCCCCCGUAACUUUGGGAUAAGGGGGACCUGAGCUGUCGUGCACCCGUGCGGUGUGGUGGCGGUGAGGGGCGCAGAGUCCAGGGGGAAACGACUGUUUACCAAAAACACAGGUCCGUGCGAAGUCGUAAGACGAUGUAUACGGACUGACUCCUGCCCGGUGCUGGAAGGUUAAGGGGAACUGUGAGUGUAUGCGUAGCGGUGAACUUAAGCCCCAGUAAACGGCGGUGGUAACUAUAACCAUCCUAAGGUAGCGAAAUUCCUUGUCGGGUAAGUUCCGACCUGCACGAAUGGAGUAACGAUUUCCCUACUGUCUCCACCAUGAACUCGGUGAAAUUGCAUUACGAGUAAAGAUGCUCGUUACGCGCAGCAGGACGGAAAGACCCCGGGACCUUUACUAUAGUUUGGUAUUGGUGAUUGGGACGGUUUGUGUAGGAUAGGUGGGAGACGUUGAUGCGGCCACGCUAGUGGUGGUGGAGUCGUUGGUGAAAUACCACUCUGAUUGUUCUGGUUAUCUCACUGUGGACCGUGAUCCGGUUCAAGGACAGUGCCUGAUGGGUAGUUUGACUGGGGCGGUCGCCUCCUAAAGGGUAACGGAGGCGCCCAAAGGUUCCCUCAGCCUGGUUGGUAAUCAGGUGGUGAGUGUAAGUGCACAAGGGGGCUUGACUGUGAGACUGACAGGUCGAGCAGGGACGAAAGUCGGGACUAGUGAUCUGACGGUGGCUUGUGGAUGCGCCGUCACUCAACGGAUAAAAGGUACCCCGGGGAUAACAGGCUGAUCUUGCCCGAGCGCUCAUAGCGACGGCAUGGUUUGGCACCUCGAUGUCGGCUCGUCGCAUCCUGGGGCUGGGGUCGGUCCC
rnacentral:rRNA from 1 species